UAGUAGAGAGUCAAAAUUCACCUCACAAAGAACUGUGUUGACGAACAUAACUUCCAAAACAGAGCCGACCCAGAAAUUGAUCUUCUUAGACGAGCACAAAGCCACCAUCUUUGCUGCAGAACCAAGCUCAGAACUAAGAUUUUCGUGUUCGCCCAAUACAGAGAAAGAGCCGAGACGAAAGAAAGGGAGAAGAGAAUGGGGAAGAAGGAAGAGAAGGAGAAGAGACAGACCGGAAGCUCUUGAUUAAAACAACACAAGUGGAAGAGUCUGUGGGUUCUACAGUUUGAGAUCUGGGUAACUCACUGCAAGAGCUUCAAGGUAUGGUUUUUAUCUUUCAUAAUUCACUAUUUAUGUUCCAUGAAUGAGAUGCAUCGUUACAUACUGUGAUCUUUUGCUUUCUGUCAUUACAAAUCUGUAUUCUAAGCUCACUCUCUUCUGUCAGCUUCUUUAAAACUCUCUACCAUUUUUCCCAGGUCUUCAUCUGCUACUUCUUAACUAGAAAAGAGAUAGAAACCCUAUGAUAAAAAACCUCAUCUGAAGAACCUUUUCACUUUAUCACUGUUAUAAACUUUACGGUUUGUAGAUAAUUCAUCAAUUUAAUUAAUUAUCAACUACUUUAGUUUCAUAUGCAUCUUAUUAUAGGUUUUAAGUUUAAAUUAGAUUCUUUUCUACUUCAAUUAUGCGCAUUUUCAUUUACUAAUAAUGAAUAGAAGCAUGGGUUUCAUAAAUUACAGUGGUAACUGCUGCUAAGAUGAUUGUUGUUUUCAUAUUGGGGUUUUUGUAUAGUACUUUUGUUUGUUUUGUGGAUUCAUUAGGUGAGAAAAAGUUUUGGCCAAGGAAAGGAAUUUGAGCUAUUUCAAAUUUUCUAGAAUUUUGACCCAGCCACUUACUUUUGCAAAACUGUACUGAUCUACUCGGAAUUUACCAUCUGUUCUUAAUUUCAGAUCUUAAUUACUUUUCUGCUGAUAUUGAUGUGCGUUACGGAUUCAUACUUAGUGCUCAACUUUCAAUUGAAUCUAUGUCAUAUUUAUAGUCAGUGAAUGCUGUUCUGUUGGGUUUGUAUUCUAUUUAUGUUCCAAUGCUCCUCUUUCCUCAAACUUUUACGUCUGUUUGUAGAUAGAUGAAUUAGUAUUGAGAUACCCUCGAUAGUUUUUAUUGUCUUCUAAUUCUACUACGAUGGAACAUUUUUGAUAAUCGGUGUUUCUUUCUUUUGGUAUUGUGUCCAGUGUUUUGCGUGUUGAGUAACUGAAGUUUGUACCUAGAAGAGUGGGUUCAUUGUGAAAGCGUUUAAGCUGAUUUUCUUCAAUUUGUUAUGUGUUUUACUUUCCUCUCUGUUCUGAAGCAUUUACAGACCUACAGCAGCUUCAUAUUGUAAGUUUCCAUGUGGAUGAUACAAAAGCCACCUUGAAUGUUUGUUUGGAUAAGCAAUUUAUUGGUGAGGAGUUGUAUUUUCAAACUGUUUCGAUGUGAUAAGCAUAUGAAUUCAGAGACGCUCUCAAACGUAUAUAGUCUAAGUUUCCUGUUGCUAUAGUAUAAAUUUGCUCUUCCUCCUUUACGUUUGUGUCUACAAAAAUGUUGUCAAUUGCUUUGAGGUAUAGAAAUGAUACGAUAACUCAUAGAAGCUAUAUCAUUGCAAAGCAACUUUUCAACUGUUUAAAAAUAUGAAGUUGGUUUUAAAUUUUGGAAAACUACAAACUUUCCACUGCCAUGAAAUCACAGUAGAGAUUGAAAAUUAUUAUGAAAUAAAAUUUCUAUUUUGCCACUGUUUACUUUGCAAUUGAAGGGAUUGCUAACAUUUUAUA